CAUGUUCCGAGAUCAGAUCAUCCAAAUAUGGUAAUAAUAUGAUGUCAUUCUAAAAAUUAUUUGAACAACUCGAUCAUAAAUGUUCCUCAUUAUUAAAUUUUAAAUCGUGGUAGUAGAAUCUUUAUUGUUUAUCAUUGUACUUCAAAGUAUCCAUAAAUAGACUUCUAAAAAUUUAAAGGCGGUUUAAAUUGAAUAUUCGAUAUAAAAUGCUGGAUGCUGUUUUGGAAUGAAACUUGAUGUAUUCAAUUAAGAGAAAAUAAAUAAGUUUGUGGAGUCCAUCUUUCCAUUUUAACUAAAUAUCCAAGAUAUAUUUGCAAUAAAGAUUUCUACAUAAUCGAAUUCAAUCUAAAAAAGUACAUCGAUAUGUGUAAGAUCCCGCUUAAUUUCAUAAGAAAAUAUGAAGUAAUGUAUAAAACCCUAAACAGACAAUGUUUGCUGUCUCUGAGGAAAACUUUCAUCGCGAGAAACUAAGAGCUAUCGUUGUUGAAUUCAAUGAGAUUGUAAGAAGAUUUUUCAAGCAUACAUUUAUAUUAAAAAUUCAUUAUUUUUUGUAUAAUAUCAUAUUGUUUAAAAAAUUAUUUGCAGCAUUUCA